rnacentral:lncRNA from 1 species
CCCAAGAAGGGUGGUCUUCCAGGAGUCACUGAAAAUUUCAAGAAGUGAAAAUCCAACAGAAAAUAUUUGAACCCAGGAAUAAAAUAGAAGCCUGGAAGACUGAAGGAUAUUCACCACAGGUGAAAUCCCUCUCAGCAGCUGGCUUAUGAAAUAAUGUGAAGGGAGGCCUUAAUGAGCAGAACGCACCCUCAGCUGGAGAUAAAUAUAUGCAAAUGAGAUGCACAAACAAAGAAGCCUGGACAGAGAAAUAUCUGCAAUUCCAGCAAAAUGCUGCCUGCAGCUCGAAGAUGAACAGCUUUGAUAAAAUGUGAGAAAUAUUACCACGCGUGCUGAUGCCUCAGACACACCAAUCUGCAACAAGCAACUAGGAUAAAAAAUAGUUAAAAGUGAAUCAACAUUUAUCUGGAAUAUACAGUCCUGACCCCCUUACGCACUCCCCCCCACCCCCCUCCCCGCAACACACAAAGUCAUUUGUCUUCUAUGUCCUGUGAUGUUUUGAGGAUUCUGGCAAAUAUGGCAGUUAAACAAACUUCUAGCACAAUCUAAAUACAGUCUGUUCAAGAGAGGCUUCCAA